rnacentral:rRNA from 1 species
GAUGAACGCUAGCGGCAGGCUUAACACAUGCAAGUCGAGGGGUAUAGGUUUUCGGACCUAGAGACCGGCGCACGGGUGCGUAACGCGUAUGCAAUCUACCUUUCACAGAGGGAUAGCCCAGAGAAAUUUGGAUUAAUACCUCAUAGUAUAGCAGCUUCGCAUGAAACCACUAUUAAAGUAUCAACGGUGAAAGAUGAGCAUGCGUCCCAUUAGCUAGAUGGUAAGGUAACGGCUUACCAUGGCUACGAUGGGUAGGGGUCCUGAGAGGGAGAUCCCCCACACUGGUACUGAGACACGGACCAGACUCCUACGGGAGGCAGCAGUGAGGAAUAUUGGUCAAUGGACGCAAGUCUGAACCAGCCAUGCCGCGUGCAGGAUGACGGUCCAAUGGAUUGUAAACUGCUUUCGUACGAGAAGAAACAACAUUACGUGUAAUGUCUUGACGGUAUCGUAAGAAUAAGGAUCGGCUAACUCCGUGCCAGCCGCCGCCGUAAUAC